rnacentral:rRNA from 1 species
AUGCAUGGGAAGAGAAGGGUACUCGGUGUCGACGAUGUUGCCAAUCAGCACGAGUACGAUGAAUUUGAUGAGUUGCCAGCCAAGGGAUCGCGCACCAGUGCAACAGAGAAGCGUAAAAUCAUCAAAAACCCCAAGUUCAUUCGGGGUCAACUUAAUGAUCCCAGUUCCCCCAUGUACAUGGGAAUUAAGCCAGGUAGCACACUCAAUCGAUCUCACUACAGUAUGUGUGAACAAAAAUAUGCAAUCUGGUUUGCGAAUAGCACACAGUUCGUUGAUGAAAGCCGUGUGCCGACCAAACCCCGCCACCCCCGCCCACGAUCUGAGUCGUGCUUUCUGAUUGGCCAGAACCCAAACCCCACCGAUCAUACGUCUGCACCGUUGGAUGCUCACAGAUCGAACGAUGAUCCUCAUCCCUUUCGACAGCACAUGCAAUUCCGGUUGGUUCGCCGCCCGCCGUCGUCCCUCGCCGUCUUGCUCCGCUGUCGCCCCUCCCUCCACCUACCUCGCCCCUGCUCUAGGGUUCGCCUCCCGCCACCGCCGCCGCCGCCCCCCGCCGCCCUGCUCCGCUGUUGCCCAUCCCUCCGCCUGCCUCGCCCCCUCCCCUACACUCACCCCUGCCCGAUCUGGAUCUGGAUGAGGCGUUGCCUCCCGUUCCUCUCAUCGCGUCCCCUGUGCCAGCCAUGGAAGAGGGGAGGAAGAAGGGGAGGGAGAGCAAAGAGGACCGCGGUGGCGAUGUGCCAACCUUCGAGGAGUCUGGCGGCGCCAUCACGCCGGCCUCUGUCCAAGAGGUCAUCGCGCUCAACAGGCCCUCACUCCUCGGCUCCGCCUGCGGAGGCCGUCGACGCCAUCACAGGGUGCCGCUUUGAGGCCGGGGUUGAAGCUGCCACCGAGGAGGCCAUCUUGACGCAGAUGUUGCAAGCACUCCUGACGUGCAUGCACUCCCCUGCGAUUUGUGACCAACACAUCUGCUCUGUGAAUUGGCUUUCUAUUCUGAACAUCGACCUGAACCUGGAAGAUUUGUCUGAGGUACAUCUAAGGAGGCCUUCUCCGACAAGGAGGCUGCGGGUCGAGGUCGUCGGCAGCGACGAUGCCGCCAGCCGCAAGCGCCGCCGCGAGGACGACAAAAUUUUUAUAUCUCUGAAUGUAUCAUCCAAAGGUCCAACACAGGUAUGCUUCUCCUUCUUUCAGUUCCUGAAUAAUUAUACCACCAUCUGUGUGGAGUAUCUUGUGGUGCUCCACACAAAUAGAUAA